CCUCUCUUGUGGAGACACCAGCUCUGCUCCCUGCUAGCAGAGGAAGACAGUCUGCAUUUCAUAGAUUAACUCCACUAGAAGUUAAAGACCCAAGAAACAGGCAUCACCAAGAAUCCACCUGCCAAUAGGCAGGACAACAACACUGAGUUUCUAGAAGCAUCUGGGGCAGCAGUCCAAGAAACCUCACAAGCAUACAGGGUUUCAGCACUUUUUGAAUCGGAGGCAAAACACCCCAACGGACAAAGGGAGCAACUGGAUGGAAUACGCUCCUGGCGAAGCUCCUACAGGCUCCUCGGUCCAUGGGAUUUCCCAGGCAAGAAUACUGGAGUGGGUCGCCACUUCCUUCUCCAGGGGAUCUUCCUGACCCAGGGAUGGAACACGAGUCUCUUUCCUCUCCUGCGCCACCUGGGAAGCCCUCUUGGUCAAUAUACUCCAUGUUAUUUGAUGCCUGAUCUUUCAAGGGAAUGAGAAAUAAAGUUUACUUCUUCAUUCUGGCCCUGUCUUCUCUUAGACAUCCUCUUUUACUUAUUUACUAACUCCAUAAUUACUGAGUUCCCAUGAAGGGGCCAAGCUCUGUGUUGGGUCCUGGGGACACGAAGGAAGAGAUGACAUUUUUUUCUGAACUCAGGAAGUUCACUUUCUUGGAUGGGAGGUGGGGAGGGCGUCAGACAUGUAAACAAAAUGCAACACAAUGUAAUAAGCGGAUAUAAUAGAUACACAAAGAAUCCUGGGGG
ensembl:lncRNA